GUUAAGUGAUUUAAGCGUACACGGUGGAUGCCUUGGCAGUCAAAGGCGACGAAGGACGUGCUAAUCUGCGAAAAGCAUCGGUAAGUUGAUUCGAAACGUUUUAACCGGUGAUUUCCGAAUGGGGAAACCCAAUGCAAAUUAAAAAGUGCAUUAUCAUUUAGUGAAUUCAUAGCUAAAUGAAGCAAACCAGAGGAACUGAAACAUCUUAGUACUCUGAGGAAUAGAAAUCAAUUUGAGAUUCCCUUAGUAGUGGCGAGCGAACUGGGAACAGCCAGAAUUAUGUAAUAUUAUUGGAUAUAUUAGGAGAAUAAUUUGGAAAAAUUAGCAAAAUAGAGUGAUAGCCUCGUAUCCGAAAAUAUAAUCAGUAAUUGUAAUUCAAAAAGUAGGACGGGACACGUGGUAUCUUGUCUGAAGAUGGGGGGACCAUCCUCCAAGGCUAAAUACUCUUGACUGACCGAUAGUGAACCAGUACCGUGAGGGAAAGGCGAAAAGAACCCCGGCUAGGGGAGUGAAAUAGAACCUGAAACCGUGUACGUACAAGCAGUAGGAGCACACAGUUUCAUUAGUGUGUGACUGCGUACCUUUUGUAUAAUGGGUCAGCGACUUAUAUUCUGUAGCAAGGUUAACUAUAUAAAAUAAGGGAGCCGUAGGGAAACCGAGUCUUAAAAGGGCGUUGAGUUGCAGGAUAUAGACCCGAAACCCGGUGAUCUAACCAUGAACAGGUUGAAGAUUAGGUAAAACUGAUUGGAGGACCGAACCGACUAAUGUUGAAAAAUUAGCGGAUGAUUUGUGGUUAGGGGUGAAAGGCCAAUCAAACCGGGAGAUAGCUGGUUCUCCCCGAAAGCUAUUUAGGUAGCGCCUCGUAAAUUCAUCUUUGGGGGUAGAGCACUGUUUCGACUAGGGGUCAUCCCAGACUACCAACUCGAUGCAAACUACGAAUACCAAAGAAUGUUAUUACGGGAGACACACGGCGGGUGCUAACAUUCGUCGUGGAAAGGGAAACAACCCAGAUCGCCAGCUAAGGUCCCUAAGUCAUGAUUAAGUGGAGAACGAUGUGAGAAGGCAUAGACAGCCAGGAUGUUGGCUUAGAAGCAGCCAUCAUUUAAAGAAAGCGUAAUAGCUCACUGGUCGAGUCGGCUUGCGCGGAAGAUUUAACGGGGCUAAAUCAUGCACCGAAGCUGCGACAAUAAAUAAUAUGACAUGAAUGAAUCUUUAACUAUCUAUCUUAUCUGUUUCUAGUAGAUAGAUAGGCUUCUUUUAAUAAAGGAAAAAAGAUUUAUGAAAAUUAUAAAGUUUAUUGGGUAGGGGAGCGUUCUGUAAGCCUGAGAAGGCGUGUUGUAAAACACGCUGGAGGUAUCAGAAGUGCGAAUGCUGACAUAAGUAACGAUAAAGCGGGUGAAAAACCCGCUCGCCGAAAAACUAAGGGUUCCUGUCCAACGUUAAUCGGGGCAGGGUAAGUCGACCCCUAAGGUGAGGCCAAUUGGCGUAGCUGAUGGGAAACAGGUUAACAUUCCUGUACUAGAUAUGACUGCGAUGGGGUAACGAAGAAAGCUAGAUUCUCCGAGGGACGGUAGUCUCGGUUUAAACGUGUAGGUGGAAAGAUCAGGAAAAUCCAAUCUUUCUUACACUAAGGCGUGAUGACGAGCCAUAAUAAAUAUGGCGAAGUAAUUUAUGCUACGCUUCCAAGAAAAACCUCUAAGCUCUAGGUUAUAUCUAAUCGUACCAUAAACCGACACAGGUGGUUAAGUAGAGAAUACUCAGGCGCUUGAGAGAACUCGGGUGAAGGAACUAGGCAAAAUGGUGCCGUAACUUCGGGAGAAGGCACACUGGGAGUAAGUAAAAGAACAACAUAAAAAAUAUGUUGCUUCCAGCGCUGAAACCAGUCGAAGAUACCAACUGGCUGCAACUGUUUAUUAAAAACACAGCACUGUGCAAACACGAAAGUGGACGUAUACGGUGUGACGCCUGCCCGGUGCCGGAAGGUUAAUUGAGAAAGUUAUCUUUGCAAAAAGAAAAGCUUUCGAUCGAAGCCUCGGUAAACGGCGGCCGUAACUAUAACGGUCCUAAGGUAGCGAAAUUCCUUGUCGGGUAAGUUCCGACCUGCACGAAUGGCGUAAUGAUGGCCAGACUGUCUCCACCCGAGACUCAGUGAAAUUGAAUUCGCCGUGAAGAUGCGGCGUACCCGCGGCAAGACGGAAAGACCCCGUGAACCUUUACUAUAGCUUGAUACUGAAUAUUAAAUGUUGACGUGUAGGAUAGGUGGGAGGCAAUGAAGUAAAGACGCCAGUUUUUAUGGAGCCAACCUUGAAAUACCACCCUUUAAUAUUUGAUACUCUAACUUGGAUCCGUUAUCCGGAUUAAGGACAGUGUCUGGUGGGUAGUUUGACUGGGGCGGUCUCCUCCUAAAGAGUAACGGAGGAGCACAAAGGUUAGCUAAUCACGUUUGGACAUCGUGAGGUUAGUGCAAAGGCAUAAGCUAGCUUAACUGUAAGAAUGACGAUUCGAACAGAUGCGAAAGCAGGUCUUAGUGAUCCGGUGGUUCUGUAUGGAAAGGCCAUCGCUCAACGGAUAAAAGGUACUCCGGGGAUAACAGGCUAAUACCGCCCAAGAGUUCAUAUCGACGGCGGUGUUUGGCACCUCGAUGUCGGCUCAUCACAUCCUGGGGCUGCAGUAGGUCCCAAGGGUAUGGCUGUUCGCCAUUUAAAGUGGUACGCGAGCUGGGUUUAGAACGUCGUGAGACAGUUCGGUCCCUAUCUGCCGUGGGCGCUGGAAGAUUGAGAGGGGCUACUCCUAGUACGAGAGGACCGGAGUGGACGCACCUCUGGUGUGCGGGUUGUCAUACCAAUGGCAUUGCCCGGUAGCUAUGUGCGGAAAAGAUAACCGCUGAAAGCAUCUAAGCGGGAAACUUGCCUCAAGAUGAAUCUUCCCUGGGGAAGAGAAUUCCCCCUAAAGGGACGUUAAAGACUAUGACGUUGAUAGGUCGGAUGUGUAAGCGUUGUGAAACGUUCAGCUAACCGAUACUAAUGACCCGUGAGAACUUAACUU
rnacentral:rRNA from 1 species